rnacentral:rRNA from 1 species
AUUAGCUAGUUGGUGAGGUAAUGGCUCACCAAGGCGACGAUGCGUAGCCGACCUGAGAGGGUGAUCGGCCACACUGGGACUGAGACACGGCCCAGACUCCUACGGGAGGCAGCAGUAGGGAAUCUUCCGCAAUGGACGAAAGUCUGACGGAGCAACGCCGCGUGAACGAAGAAGGCCUUCGGGUCGUAAAGUUCUGUUGUUAGGGAAGAACAAGUACCAGAGUAACUGCUGGUACCUUGACGGUACCUAACCAGAAAGCCACGGCUAACUACGUGCCAGCAGCCGCGGUAAUACGUAGGUGGCAAGCGUUGUCCGGAAUUAUUGGGCGUAAAGCGCGCGCAGGUGGUUCCUUAAGUCUGAUGUGAAAGCCCACGGCUCAACCGUGGAGGGUCAUUGGAAACUGGGGAACUUGAGUGC